AGGGGGUGGGGAGGCCUGCCGGUGCAACGAGAUGGAGUGGGCUGGCGCCUCGGGAGAGCGAAUCGAGGGCGGCGGAGCUGGAAUCUUGCUCCAUUGCCCAGGCUGGAUGCAAUGGUGUGAUUAUAGCUCACUGCAGCCUCAAACUCCUGGGCUCAAGUGACCCUCCUGCCUCAGCCUCCCAAUUCUUUCUACCACACUCCCGAGGAAGCUCCCAUGGACAAAGCCGGAUAAUCCGAAAGGCGUACCUGGAAGACUUUUACACCCGGAUGAUGCAUGAGUGCUAUCAGAUAUGGGCCCAGCUGGAGCACGAGGCUGGAACCCAAUUGCACAGGCAGACUGGAUUACUGCUGCUGGGAAUGAAAGAGAACCAAGAAUUAAAGACAAUCCAGGCCAAUCUGUCGAGGCAGAGGGUAGAACACCAGUGUCUUUCAUCUGAGGAACUGAAGCAACGUUUCCCAAAUAUUCGGUUGCCCAGGGGAGAAGUGGGGCUCUUGGACAAUUCCGGAGGAGUUAUCUAUGCAUAUAAGGCCCUCAGAGCCCUGCAGGAUGCAAUUCGACAGCUAGGAGGCAUAGUGCGUG
rnacentral:sRNA from 1 species